CCAGACUCCUACGGGAGGCAGCAGUGAGGAAUAUUGGUCAAUGGCCGUAAGGCUGAACCAGCCAAGUAGCGUGAGGGAAGACUGCCCUAUGGGUUGUAAACCUCUUUUAUGCGGGGAUAAAGGUGUCCACGUGUGGAUGUUUGCAGGUACCGCAUGAAUAAGGACCGGCUAAUUCCGUGCCAGCAGCCGCGGUAAUACGGAAGGUCCGGGCGUUAUCCGGAUUUAUUGGGUUUAAAGGGAGCGUAGAUGGGUUGUUAAGUCAGUUGUGAAAGUUUGCGGCUCAACCGUAAAAUUGCAAUUGAUACUGGCAGUCUUGAGUACAGUUGAGGUAGGCGGAAUUCGUGGUGUAGCGGUGAAAUGCUUAGAUAUCACGAAGAACUCCGAUUGCGAAGGCAGCCUUCCGGCGCCCUACUGACGCUGAGGCACGAAAGUGCGGGGAUCGAACAGGAUUAGAUACCCGAGUAUA
rnacentral:rRNA from 1 species